rnacentral:misc_RNA from 1 species
GAAAUGCGAUAAGUAAUGUGAAUUGCAGAAUUCAGUGAAUCAUCGAAUCUUUGAACGCACAUUGCGCCCGCCAGUAUUCUGGCGGGCAUGCCUGUCCGAGCGUCAUUUCAACCAUCAAGCCCCCGGGCUUGUGUUGGGGACCUGCGGCUGCCCGCAGGCCCUGAAAACCAGUGGCGGGCUCGCUGUCACACCGAGCGUAGUAGCAAUCACCUCGCUCAGGGCGUGCUGCGGGUUCCGGCCGUUAAACAGCCUUACAAAACCCAAGGUUGACCUCGGAUCAGGUAGGAAGGCCCACUGGACUUAAGC